AGGCCUGGCCACCCCACUAGGCCUCCCACCCUCUCCCAGGGCCUCUUCUCCUACCUGCCUGAUUUCUCCCGUCUCCAGUGGAGCAAAGGGAGGGACUAUCCUUGGGUCUCCCUCACCCCCCAGGAGGCUGCUGCCCCAGGCCUCACCUUCUCGGAGGCCUCAGACUCUGCCCACAGCCAGCCAGAGCUAGAGGGGCAGAGAUCCCUAAGUCUCCUAAGUGCCAUGAGGACGGGGACUGCACAAUGUCAUUGAGGCUGCGGUUUGCUGAAUAACGCGAGUCAAGCCUUUGUGCUCCGGGACCCAGCCCCGCUCCUUAGAAGGAACCCCACCCUGAACACAGGGGAGGGUAGAGGGGCCUAAAGAAUAAAACAAUCUUCAGCCCACCAGGCCCUGCUCUUCACGUACCUGCAUGACCUCCAGCUUCUUCUUGGUGGUUUCAAUGAACUGGGCAAUG